ACAUCCUGACCACUCGGGGUACUCAGGGGCCAGCUUGCCUGCCAAUGGACCAGAUCCAGCAGCCACAACUGGGACCCUUUUGUCUCUGAUCUCCUCCUGACGUGAACAACUGACCAGAGUGCCCCAAUUGAUGAAGAAAACGAGUUGCAAGACUGGAUGAAAUAACCUGUCCACUAUCAAAUACUCAUAUUACUUGAGUCAGUUUGGGCUGCUAUAAGGAGUGGCAACUGGAGAGGAGAUACCCCACAUCCAAGGUCAGGAGCGGAGGCUGAGAGGAGAUAUCCAACGUCCAAAGUAAGGAGCAAUGGCUGUGCUUUGCUGGAGCAGCUGUGAAGCGAUAUCCCUAGUUCAAGAACUCAACUACAAGUUAAACAACACCCAGUUGGUCUAGAUUCUGUUCAGCGAGAGAAGUCUACUCACAAGCUUGAUGACAUGAGACCAUCAACUGCUAGAAAAGUUUUUAAAACUUGUAACCUUUGUACUUACUGCUUUCUGGUAACAAAUAUCUUGCAGAGCAAACCUGUCUGUAGACCUCACGCUGUGUUGCACAGUUCUAGAAAAUAUUGCUAACACCUAAUUUAUCAUCUGCUUUG